rnacentral:rRNA from 1 species
GAUGAACGCUGGCGGCGUGCCUAAUACAUGCAAGUCGAGCGAACAGACGAGGAGCUUGCUCCUCUGACGUUAGCGGCGGACGGGUGAGUAACACGUGGAUAACCUACCUAUAAGACUGGGAUAACUUCGGGAAACCGGAGCUAAUACCGGAUAAUAUAUUGAACCGCAUGGUUCAAUAGUUAAAGACGGUUUUGCUGUCACUUAUAGAUGGAUCCGCGCCGCAUUAGCUAGUUGGUAAGGUAACGGCUUACCAAGGCAACGAUGCGUAGCCGACCUGAGAGGGUGAUCGGCCACAAUGGAACUGAGAAACGGUCCAGAAUCCUAAGGGAGGCAGCAGUAGGGAAUCUUCCGAAAUGGGCGAAAGCCUGAAGGAGCAAAGACGCGUGAGUGAUGAAGGUCUUCGGAUCGUAAAACUCUGUUAUUAGGGAAGAACAAAUGUGUAAGUAACUAUGCACGUCUUGACGGUACCUAAUCAGAAAGCCACGGCUAACUACGUG